UGCACAAUGAAAACUUAUUUUAUUCAAUGUUCCAUCAUGGAUCAAAAAUAUACUUUGACUACACAAACAAAAAUAGCUGUUAAUAUUACAAGCAAAAAUCAAACAAAUAUAUCAAUAGAAUAGUUUGCGGCCUUGCUGUUUUUAUAGCAACCCUGUAAAAUAAUUGUUUUUUUCCCAAUGUAAGUUUGAGUUAAUUGACUGUACAAGUCAUUUCAACUUAAUCAAAUCUUACUUAAAUCUCAACAAGUGAUGAGUUGCUUUAACUUGAUGAGUCGCUGUAAAAAUAAAACAUGAGGUAAUGUAAACAUAUGUUGCCAUGAGUUGUAACAUAUGUGGUAACAGGUUGUCCCUUCUGUUAAAUAGAUCUGUGUCUAUAUGAUUUUAACAAUCUUAGCGUUUAUUUAAUAUUUUUGUACUGAAAAUACAUAGAUUGAAAAAACAGGCGUUUGGAAUUAAUCUUCAGAGUAUGAAACGUAUGCUGAGCAGGUGGUGUUGGCUAGACAAAGCAUUUUUUCUGGUCAUUUAUAGAAACAUAUGGUGUAUUAACACCUUCACCUGACCACAGUGCACAAGAGCUCCUUUGGAUUGACCUUAGAUCGCAAAGCAAUUACCAGAGCUCCAUCUUUCGUCUAUUCAACAAAUCCAAUGAUCUUUCUAGCUGUCUUUACAACAUUGGCGUUGACCUUACAAAGUGUUGGUUUAGGAAAAUGUGGAUGGCUUUAGGUGUAAAUGCUUCCACACUGCCUUUCCUCAUAGACACGGACAGAUCAGAAAGUGGUGAAGGUGGUGUUGUCACUUAAUAAUUAAUGUCCAGUCAGUCUGCCAAACUUUACCUGUAAGAUGGAAAACAAGACCAUUUACAAAGGUAUCCUAUGUAAAAGAGACCAGAAAGACUUCAAAAGAGCAAGGGGUCAAUGUAGCUUUGACAGCUGAGGUAAAAUAAUUGUCAGCUAACUUAAUUCAGGAGUUUUUUUUAGUUCAUCCAUCUCAUCUCUUAAAGAAAGUUUGAGGAUUUGGAAGAAAGAUGUUUGCAAUGUAAGCAAAAAAAUUGUAUUUUUUCCUUUUGUGGUAUUGAUGUUAUUCUAACUAGACUAACAUAAUUGUAAGCAGGCACAGCAUUAGGAUAAGAAGUAAUAGCUUUCUGUAUAACUAACAUUUACAGAUCCAGAGAUGCAAGGUUUCCUAGAAUCGGUUCAAUUCCUUAGCUUUAGAUGUCCAGUCCUACUUGAGUUUACAGGUAUCUGGAUUGGACCCAUGGUGGUCAAAGGGAAUUCCCUCUACUUUCAAUCUUCGAGUCAUUCCCUUUGUCUCUCUCCUUCCUCACCUCUAGGUUUGUUGUCUGGGGAUUGCACAGAAUGAUGGCAGAGUCUGUGAUCAGUCCCAGUUUGUCUUGGCAGAGCCGGACCGCUAGUGUUUCCCUCUUCUCUCCCCUCAGACGCACUGCGGCAGCCACGGCACACACACACACUUCCAACCCUACACACACUCCACUCACUUCUGUUUUUAGGAGGGAGGGAGUGGGACGGCUCUCUUGUCUUGUCUCAGCCAAACUCUUCUUUCUUCAAGUCUCUUCUCGCUUGGAAGGCUUUCUUCGGAACGUGCGAUCGCUCCAGAGAAGUUUGGAAGCUAAAUUUUGCGAAAUCUUGGAUCCGUACGCUGGGCGUCAAUUGGGAAUAUGGCACUUGUGCAGGGUAAGCAUACUCACAGGGAUCCCAAAUAUGCUGUAUUUCCCGAAGAAAGGAGAGCAUCUUGGCUCUGUGGAGGACUUGGGUCGCACUGGAUUACUGGACACGGAUGGCGCUUCUGCUUCAUAUUUAAGGCUGUGACCACAGGCCUAUCCCAGUUCUUCUCCGACACAUAUGACACAACCAUCCUGUAGCUGGAUAAUAGAAACCUAGAGUCCCGCUUUCAGGGAAGAUAGUUGCCCCAGACAAGCUGACCUAAAUCGAUCCCAGUACUGUCUGGAAGCCGCAAGUGAGAGAGUGGGAGAGAGAGAGACACAGCUGCGUAGCUCUUAACUAGCAGAGCUGCUCUACACCGGCAGCCAUCGUGUGGAGAAUCGAAGGGAUUGCAGACCCUUUCACUCGCUCUCUUUUUCUGAGCUGCUGGAGGGAAACUGGCACGCCUUGCCACAUCUCUUGGGGUUCGGCUCUUUCCAUCCGCUUCCUCCUUUUUUCCGGUUGUCUUCCAGCAGGUAUCCAUCCUUCAGGCUCCGGCUGCCUUUUUAUGGUGAAUUAGUCGACACUCUGAGACGCUCUUAUCAGACGGCGCUGGGGGAAAAACAUCUAUCGGGGUUUGGACUCCACUGCUGCGACUACCUGCACACCCGUUUUUUCGGUGAUGUGUGGGGAGCAAAACUACAGUGAGCCAAAUGGACCAUAACAUAAGCUUUCGAUGACAUGUCUCGAGGAUUACCGAUAGAAAGACUUCACCUGGGACGCAGGACGCUGGAUUUAUUGAGAUGAGAAUGUAAUGGUGAAGAACAAUGGCUUCAGGAAACAAUGUGUUGCCACAGAGAGCAUCGAAAUUACAUUUAGUUAUUUACAGCAAAAGAAGACAAACAUAUACAGAAAUCAGAUAUAUGUGAAAUAAUAUAAAACAGAUGUAUAAUGUAUAUGUUUAUGUAUGAAUUUCACAGAUAUGUCACAUACUUGCAUGUAAUGAAUAUAUGAUAAAUUCUUAAAUUCCAUUUUCCAAAAGCAUAGAUACAAAUAUUAGCCAUUAUUAUAUUAGAUUGAACCAUAUUCAUUGUUUUAUUUUGGCAUAUAUAUUUUAUGAUACGUCUCAAACUCUGGAAUUAGACAUACUGUACUAUGUAAAAAGUCAGAUUAGAUUCUUUACCAAAAAUAAAUGUUUCUUUGAGAAGUUUAUUACUAUUUUUGCGUUAUGGUAUUAGUGGGACAUUUUAUUAUAGAUUUUUAAACAUGACGAUCAAAUAUUAUAAUCAGCAAAGAUUUGAGUAUGAAUAAGGAGUCUUGUAACAGGGUAUCUGGCCAAUGCAAAGAUCUCAUCCAUCCUCAAGUCAAUCUGGGAUUACGUCAAGAAACAAAAAAACCUGUUAAAUCCACGAUCUAAUAUGCUUGGAAAUUGAACUAUUGGAUCACAAAUGAGUUUAGAAUCAGAAAUUCAAAAAAGUUGUUUGAUUAGAUCCGAUGAAACUCCCUCCCCACAUGAAAAAAUUCUAAAGUGCCUUUCUAUGGUACCUUCUUAAAGAUGGGGUGACACAGAUUCCACAAAUCUCAUAUUAAUCGUGAGUGCCUAUACAGUAGUAUAUACUUUGUAUCUUCGAAGAGUAUAAAAAAAACAUGCUUAGAUAAACUAAACUUGGCUCUGUACACUGUAGUAGGCUUUGUGAGAGAUGUUUUUAUGUCUCUUAUGCCUUUUGUUGUUCUAAUGUUUGACCCAAUAGCUUCCAUUGUUUACCCACCUUGAAAGUCGCUUUGGAUAAAAGCAUCUGCUAAAUGACUAAAUGUAUAUGUAAAUAUAUUUAGUUUGAUCAAAUUCAUAAAAGAGAGAUACAGCUGUACGACCUGCUGGAGACAAUACAAAUACACAAUACAUCAUCGCAUUAUCCCUUCGUGUUAUUUACAUAAUUUACGUACAUGAUGAUUGGGAACAAAACACAGACAGAUUACUUAGUUGACUGACCGCGUGUGGUUCAAGUCCGGCAUCUUUUAGCUCUUGGAUCGCACCAUCUAUCAGUUUCAAACGGUCUCCAAAUCCAGCGUUAUAUCCACCGUUUAUAUAACAUUUAUCACCCAAAUACAGGAAGCAAACAAACGCACCUCAACUUCCGUCAGCCGAGUGAACUGCCAUUGAUGGCCGUGAUGCGUGGGCGUGCUCUUUCUCUCAAGAUAGCGCGUGAGCCUGGUCUUUCGCUCGGUAAAUGACGCGUGGGCAUGCUUUUCCGGCAGAAUGGCCAUUAAAACAGUGAUCCAGACUUAUAAAAAACUUUCCAAAACAAGUUGGUGUGCUGGAGAAACACUACGUCAUACAUCCACCUCGUUUUUUAACAAGUUUACCAUGUUAAGCAUGAGAAGCCAGCACUUUUAACAGUGUAAAGAAGUGAAAUAGGCAUGAAAUAGCAUGUUACCCCAUCUUUAAACUGUGCGUGAAUUGUUUUUAUGUGCAUACCUGAUUUCACACAUAUGUUUGGAUUACAAUAUAUACUGUAACUCAAAUAAAUAAAACCAAUUAUAAGGUCA